GCUGCUUUCUAAUCCGCUGUUCACACACCCAAAGCUUCUAAAUCACAGAAUACUGGACCUAGGGGAGGUCUUAGGGUCCAUUUUGUCCAUAUAAGCAUCACACAUAGUUUUCUGCUUUAUCACAUCUGGAAAUUCGACAUUCUGUAGAAGCAAUCUGCUUAAAGUGAAGAAUGGCCGUCGCCGACUCCCACGCAGCUGGCUGGCACAGGGUCUCUGCUUUUAGACGGAGCCCUCGGCCAGUUUGCGUGCCUUUUGAAUAACGAGGAGAUUUAACGUCUUCAAGGUGGAGCCUGUGUUAUGCUCUGCCUGCGGUGCUAAUGCAGCUGUUUACAGGAGAAGACGAAGCGGAUUUUUCACCUGCAAGGCCGUCGGGUCUGUCUGAGCCCUCAAACCAGCUCUGGCCCUUAGUUCAGAGACUGUCAAAUGGUUCUGGCCAAAGUCACUGAUCACCUGUGGGCUGAGGAUUUCCUUCUUUUCUUCUUUUUUUCUUCAGAUAGCUUUCCAACAACCUAAGAAAUUCUUUCCCAGACCUCAAGAGAAUGAGAGAGAUGAUCUUUGUGUGUCUACUUGCAAAGUCUUGUUUUGGGAGAGUCAGGGUCGCAGUCAGAACACACCCAGACAAAGGCAAUUCACACUUGCCCUGAAGAGCCGGCAGCAGGAAGCACACAGUUGACUUUUCAUAGCCUUUUAAAAACUGUAACCGUAGGCGAAGGCUCCAGAAGACACGCUCGUUCCCCUAAUGCAUCUUGUUCCACUUGUGGGACGCAACAGGAGCAGCGCUCAGGAACACCCCACGUUCAAUCUUUAUUUUCGGGUCUUCCAAAGCAAGACGUCGCCGUAAAACAAAAUUGCUGUGCUGCUCCAAGGGUUAAUUAGACAUGGCCCAGAAAAAGCGAUUUCUCUCUCCCUGCCUUGAAUUUUGGGCUUUCCAUUCUGAGUAACUGUUGACUUCUGCCAAAUGGAGUAAGAUAAAUGCGAGCUCCUAAAUCGAACUCCCCUGGUCCUGUUUCCAGCUGCUGUUUUUCAGUUUUCCAAAAAAGAGAAAGCUCUUUGGACCUGCCUUUGGCAAACCUGGAACUUGACUCUCUUCCCUUCUGGUUUGGGGUCCAGGCAUCUUUGGGAAGGAAAUCCAGGCCUGUCGGGAUGAACUUCUCCUGAAGACAUGAAGAACCUGGAACAAGUGACCAUGAGCUUAUCCAGAUCACGGAAGCUGCUGGUCCUCGAACGUGGCUCUGUAGCAGCGGCAUGAGCAUCGUCUGGGCGCAGAACUCAAUCCUGUGACCUCUCCUAACUGCCAGGUGCUGGGAAAGUCACCACUUAGAUCUCCAGCAGACAAGGGACAAGGAGAAUUAAGCAUGACUGUUGGGAUGCCCAACCUACGGCCCCAGAACUGGGGAAAGAAGAGCGAGUGGGGCAGCCCAGCCCCUCUGGCCAUGAUCUGGUGCAUCGGCGUUCGGGCGCUGUCAGCAAACGGGCAGGCUGCUCGGCUACUCUCUCCCUGAACUUACACUGACACGAACAAGCUCUCUCCC